rnacentral:lncRNA from 1 species
CUAAGACCUAAAAGUCUGACAGCUAACAUCCAAGUGGUGGUAAUAAGUGUGGGUGAUUCUCCAUGUCCCUAGCACCUUGCUUCACAGUGAGCCUGCCCCAUUCUUAUUGCUGAUAGAAAGAACAAGUCAUAAACCAAAUUGGUGAUAAAACUCUGGGCUUCCACCUCAAGCUGAGAAUGUGCCUAUGCUGCUUCCUGGGCACUCUGACUGCUCUGAGCAGGGUUGUCGAAGCUGGGUCAACCAUGGGCUUGACCACCUGCUCAGAGGAGAUGGCAGGACUUAGCUGUCUCCCAGGAACAAUGAGGAAGCAUUGGAGUAGUUUGCAGAUAAGCAAAGAUAGUGGAUGGAUUAGAGUUGGAAACAUCAGUAUGAAUUUGGUUAGCACAAUAGAGAUACAGUUAUUACAUAUCAAAAGAGAGCUACACACAUGAACACUUGGGCUAGUAGAUACAUAUGUACCUCCUUGUUCUGUCGGCUAAGAGGGCCUAGAAGCAAUGACCCCACAGCAACAAGCACACUUUACAUUCUCUAACACAGUUCUCCGAUAAUAGGACCCAAGGCUCCUUGGAGAAAUGUUGAUUUCAAGAUUAGAACAGAAAACAUGUCCAACAUCUCUGGAACAUUCUGUAGUGCCAGGAUGUAAGGAAGUACUCAAAAACAUAAAUAAAAAAAAAUUUAAAUGCCACCAUAAGGGUAUGUCAAAGGGAUCUAUCCCCGUUCCCAAACGAACCCCCGAAAAAGCUCUCAAAGCCUAAAGCUAGAACAAGUUGAGCAACAACAGGAAGUAGCGUUACAUUGUGGUCUAAAACACAAAAUAAACACCCAGGGAUCCAGACUGGCAUAGAGAAGCAGCUGGAAAAUAAAUAAAUAAAUACCUAUAGAGAAGAGACAAACCUGUGCAGAAUAAUUCCAAAUCAUUUUUGUGGACACUCUGCCUUCAAGGAGGUGAAGGAUAACUUCUGCUCCCAAAGUGUGGAUGGUGCGUGGAGCCCGACUUCCU